UCGUUUUCCCUUCAAAAAUGCCUCUUGGCCAAAGACAGGCGAGUUGCCGGCCUCCACACUGCCAAGCCACUCGAAAAGGUGUUAGGCACAAAAGGAGAAAGUGCCUAAAUCACAGGGGCAACACAGCCCCCCCCACUCCCAGCAGCUCCCAUGGGGCCAGGCUGGUGGUUCCAGAGCUCAACACAGCCAGUCCUCCCAGUACCGCCAGUACCAUCCUAGGCAAGGCAAGGCAACACAAGACAGCAUGGGUCAGCGUGGCACCGGGAAGGCUGCCCAGUACGGGGGCAAGGAUCCCAAGAGCGGUCAGGGCUGGAACGGCUACAGACUUCCACAGGGCUGGGAUGUCACCCAAGGGAAUUUACUGACCACCAAGGGCUACAUAAAAUCGGUGCCUGCUCAGCUUACCCGAAGCGUUCGGGUGACAAAACAGCUACGAUUUCAACAGAGGGAAGGGGGUGCUGCGGUUCCUGCACUGAGCGCUCCCCAAGGACCCGCCAACUCACUCCCUCGCAAACGGCUAAGCUGUCUGCAUCUGAGCCCGGACAAUGCACGGCGCGCUGGGGGGACACAAAGGCAGAAGACCCACCACGGACCUGCACGCCGGUUUGCAACGGGGUUCGUGCAUCGGGUUCAUUUAUUAUUGUUUGGCGUGGAAGACAGCGAGCCGUGUCGCUGCUCCAAGAGCCGUUCUGAAAAGUCCUGCUUUGCUUUUCAUGGUGCGCACGGUGCUUUUCACACGGCCAGGCACAAAGAAAUCCCAUGUCCUUCCGCCUCUGGAACAGCAGCACGGCAGUUUCCCAUGUAGCUUUCCUCCCCGAGCACAGGACCCAGGCAGUCGCAUCUUCUCAGGGGGGUCAAUCUGAGGCUGCAACAAGAAGCCGGAUGAAGGCCACUGUAUUCAGCACCACUUCACUGUUUGCACCUGUCCAGAAAACCCUGGACCCAAAGCUAUCCUAAGAGAUUAUAGCUGCUAAACACAUUCUUGAGGUCCCCGUGGGCAGGGAGGCAGCUGUGCUGGAAAGAGUUAACCUUCCCGGGAACACAGCUCGGGUUUCUCAGAAAGUCGGAGACUGCAGCUGAAGCCGGUCCGCCGCCUGCUCCCCUGCCUGCCUGCAGCCUGACCCCUGACAUUUCCACUCUGCUUCUCGCUGGCGUAGAAAACUUAACCAUACAUAAGCACGCAGGCGGGAGGACGGAGAGGUGGGGGACAGGAGGAGGAGAAAGGGGAGAUCUCUCAGAUUUCCUCCAAGAGCUGGGAUUCAGCAACAACAACUGGCAGCACACUUCGGCUGCUUUUUCAAACCUUCACCAACUCUGGAAAAACAACAGCGCACCAAAAGGAAAAAUUAAUCUGUUCUCCCCCUUUCUGUGCCUCUGAUUGCAACCAAACGAGCGGAGAAAUCUAGAACUCCCUCCCCCCCGCGCUCUUGCACUCGGAUACUUUCAAAAACUUCUCUGAAGUUGAAGUUCGCGGUAGAAUUACAGAGAUUCGUUUUCCUCUUGACAUGCUAUCAUGUCUCCAAAGUGACAAAAGUUUUGAAAAGCAAUAGAAUGUAAAAAAAGUGGGAGGGACCCUCCUGUAUCCUCUGCACUGCUGCAGCGAGACUCGAAUGGCAACCCAACAACGCACAACAUCAAUAAAAUGAGAGGGGAGGUAACAGAGUGAUUUGUGUUUUGUUUAAAAAAAAAAAAAAAAAAAUCCUGAAAAGGAAUAAAAUAUAAAAUCAAAAA